ACCUCGAUGGCUCAGCCGGAUAGAGCAUCUGCCAUAUAAGCAGGAGAGCCCGGAUUCGAGUCCCGGUCGAGGCA